UACGUAGGGUGCGAGCGUUUGUCCGGAAUUAUUGGGCGUUAAAGAGCUUGUAGGCGGUUUGUCGCGUCUGCUGUGAAAAUCCGGGGCUCAACCCCGGACUUGCAGUGGGUACGGGCAGACUAGAGUGUGGUAGGGGAGACUGGAAUUCCUGGUGUAGCGGUGAAAUGCGCAGAUAUCAGGAGGAACACCGAUGGCGAAGGCAGGUCUCUGGGCCACUACUGACGUGAGAAGCGAAAGCGUGGGGGAGCGAAACAGG
rnacentral:rRNA from 1 species